UACAGAGGGUGCAAGCGUUAAUCGGAUUUACUGGGCGUAAAGCGUGUGUAGGUGGCUGAGUCAGUCGAUUGUGAAAGCCCUGGGCUUAACCUGGGAAUUGCAGUCGAUACUACUCAGCUAGAGUAUGGGGAGAGGGCAGUGGAAUUCCCGGUGUAGCGGUGAAUGCGUAGAGUAUCGGGAGAACAUCAGUGGCGAAGGCGGCUGCCUGGCCCAAGUACUGAC
rnacentral:rRNA from 1 species